rnacentral:rRNA from 1 species
AAGGAAUAUUGCUCAAUGGGAGAAAUCCUGAAGCAGCAACGCCGCGUGGAGGAUGAAGGGUCUAUGACUUGUAAACUCCUGUAAAGUAGGAAAAAAUUCCCAUUUGAUGGGAGAUGAUGGUACUUCUGGAGUAAGCCCCGGCUAACUACGUGCCAGCAGCCGCGGUAAUACGUAGGGGGCAAGCGUUGUCCGGAUUUACUGGGUGUAAAGGGUGCUCAGGCGGAUUUGUAAGUCAGAGGUGAAAUCUUACAGCUUAACUGUGAAACUGCCUUUGAUACUGCAAGCCUAGAGUAUGGAAGAGAGUGAUGGAAUAUCUGGUGUAGCAGUGAAAUGCGUAGAUAUCAGAUAGAACACCCAUGGCGAAGGCAGUCACUUGGUCCAUUACUGACGCUAAAGCACGAAAGCGUGGGUAUCAAACA